rnacentral:rRNA from 1 species
CUUUCAACAACGGAUCUCUUGGUUCUGGCAUCGAUGAAGAACGCAGCGAAAUGCGAUAAGUAAUGUGAAUUGCAGAAUUCAGUGAAUCAUCGAAUCUUUGAACGCACAUUGCGCCCUCUGGUAUUCUGGGGGGCAUGCCUGUUCGAGCGUCA